GAGGAUAAUGUUGUUGACCACAAAAAGAAACCCUACUCCUGAUGCUUGACUAACAUAUGAUAGAAAUGAUACCUUUUAGGAGAAUUUUGAAAAGGAGAAAUCGUUGAGUCCAACACUUUAACUCCAGAAAUGAGUACUGAGUCCAACCCUAAAUCCUGAAAAAGACAUUACAAAAUAUCUAUUUCAGAAUGAAAAAGGUGUUAUUCAAGAUUUUGAGAGUUUAAAAAGAAAGUGCCUCCUUAUUUUUACUAAGGACUCUUACCAAUCAUCUAAAACAGACAGCACCUGCUUUGCCAAGUCACCUACCACAUUACUAACAUUCAACACUCUGCCCACAUCAACUAUCCAACGUGACUUGCCACAUCGCCAUAAUUCAAUUUGAUGGUUGAUCACGAACUUCUACAUUUACCUAUUCCUGGUUGAAUUGAUCAGGGAGCCAUUACAUGAGUUUAAAAACAAACAGAAGUUUAGGCAAUUAAGCUCUUCCUUUUGUUUAUUUCCUAUUUCUUUUUCAGUUCUUGUUUGGUGGUGUUCUCCAUCCCAGUACAAAUAUACAAUCAAAUAUUUCCAACACCUUAAAAUUUUCAAUAUUAAUAAUCAGCAAUUUCCAAAUUUUUUUGACUUAGAAGCUCUAUCUCUAUAAAUCCUGGUGUUGUGUUGAUGAGAAACCAGAACGACACCUGUUGCUUGCUGCAAGAAUAGUAGAGAAAACAAAAUUCAGGUAUUUAGAGAAUGAUAUUAGCCUAAGACAUGAAAUAAAAAUUCAACAAGGAAGAGAGGAGAAAAAAUGAAGGAAUUUUUUCUGCAUGUGCAACUCUAGCUUGGACACCACCUCCUGAAUUCAGGUCCCAUUUGCCCUUCCUUUUACAUUAACUAAGGCAAGAGGGUAUUUUCGAAAGUGAGCAUUGAUUGCUUUCGCAAUACCAGUUACACUAUUACUCUUUCCUGAAAAGAAGUUGCAGCCAUAAAACAAUAAAGAGAUUAAGUAUGUGCUUUCUGUUUUAUAGGUUCAGAGCAGGAAUUGUGAUUUUCAAUUAUAGGGACCGCUACAACAUGCUUCAAAAGACAGAAGGUACAACAUAUUAUACAACACAAGGCUUCCCAAUUAGUAUAAUUUCAGGAAAAUAUCAAAGGAUAAGUGAAAUUGAGAAUGAAAAAUGGUGAAUUGAAAAGACGUGUGACGUGAGAGUAAAGAGAUUCUAGGGUUUCUUUGGUGG
rnacentral:lncRNA from 1 species